rnacentral:rRNA from 1 species
AACGUACGCUGGCGGCACGCCUAACACAUGCAAGUCGAACGAAGUAGCAAUACUUAGUGGCAGACGGGUGAGUAACAUGUAGGUAUCUGCCCUUUGGCCUGGAAUAACACGAGGAAACUUGUGCUAAUACCGGAUAAGUCUUUACGGAGAAAGCUUUAUGCACCAUUGGAUGAGCCUGCACUUGAUUAGUUUGUUGGUGGGGUAAUGGCCUACCAAGACUGUGAUCAAUAGCUGAUUUGAGAGGAUGAUCAGCCACAUUGGGACUGAGACACGGCCCAAACUCCUACGGGAGGCAGCAGUGGGGAAUCUUGCACAAUGGAGGAAACUCUGAUGCAGCGAUGCCGCGUGAGUGAAGAAGGCCCUUGGGUUGUAAAGCUCUUUCGUCGGGGAAGAAAAUGACUGUACCCGAAUAAGAAGGUCCGGCUAACUUCGUGCCAGCAGCCGCGGUAAUACGAAGGGACCUAGCGUAGUUCGGAAUUACUGGGCUUAAAGAGUUCGUAGGUGGUUGAAAAAGUUAGUGGUGAAAUCCCAGAGCUUAACUCUGGAACUGCCAUUAAAACUUUUCAGCUAGAGUAUGAUAGAGGAAAGCAGAAUUUCUAGUGUAGAGGUGAAAUUCGUAGAUAUUAGAAAGAAUACCAAUUGCGAAGGCAGCUUUCUGGAUCAUUACUGACACUGAGGAACGAAAGCAUGGGUAGCGAAGAGGAUUAGAUACUCUCGUAGUCCAUGCCGUAAACGAUGUGUGUUAGACGUUGGAAAUUUAUUUUCAGUGUCGCAGGGAAACCGAUAAACACACCGCCUGGGGAGUACGACCGCAAGGUUAAAACUCAAAUGAAUUGACGGGGACCCGCACAAGUAGUGGAGCAUGUGGUUUAAUUCGAAGAUACGCGCAGAACCUUACCAACACUUGACAUGUUCGUCGCGACUCUAAGAGAUUAGAGUUUUCGGUUCGGCCGGACGAAACACAGGUGCUGCAUGGCUGUCGUCAGCUCGUGUCGUGAGAUGUUGGGUUAAGUCCCGCAACGAGCGCAACCCUCACUUUUAGUUGCCAUCAUUAAGUUGGGCACUCUGAAAGAACUGCCAGUGAUAAGCUGGAGGAAGGUGGGGAUGACGUCAAGUCCUCAUGGCCCUUACGUGUUGGGCUACACACGUGCUACAAUGGUAUCUACAACAGGAAGCAAGACUGCGAAGUUAAGCAAAUCCCUAAAAGAUACCUCAGUUCGGAUUGCACUCUGCAACUCGAGUGCAUGAAGCUGGAAUUACUAGUAAUCGUGGAUCAGCGUGCCACGGUGAAUGCGUUCCCGGGUCU